rnacentral:tRNA from 1 species
GGGCUAUUAGCUUCAGGUGGUUAGAGCGCACCCCUGAUAAGGGUGAGGUCCCUGGUUCAAGUCCAGGAUGGCCCACC